rnacentral:rRNA from 1 species
CAGUCGCCGCGGGAAUACGAAGGGUGCAAGCGUUACUCGGAAUUACUGGGCGUAAAGCGUGCGUAGGUGGUGGUUUAAGUCCGUUGUGAAAGCCCUGGGCUCAACCUGGGAAUUGCAGUGGAUACUGGGUCACUAGAGUGUGGUAGAGGAUAGUGGAAUUUCCGGUGUAGCAGUGAAAUGCGUAGAGAUCGGAAGGAACAUCUGUGGCGAAGGCGACUAUCUGGGCCAACACUGACACUGAGGCACGAAAGCGUGGGGAGCAAACAGGAUUAGAUACCCGAGUAGUCCCUGUCUCUUAUAA